UACGUAGGCAGCGAGCGUUGUUCGGAAUUACUGGGCGUAAAGAGUGUGUAGGCGGUGCUCUAAGUUCGGUGUGAAAUCUCCUGGCUCAACUGGGAGGGUGCGCCGGAAACUGGAGUGCUUGAGCGUGGGAGAGGAAAGCGGAAUUCCUGGUGUAGCGGUGAAAUGCGUAGAGAUCGGGAGGAACACCUGUGGCGAAGGCGACUUCCUGGCCUGUUCUUGACGCUGAGGCGCGAAAGCUAGGGUAGCAAACGGG
rnacentral:rRNA from 1 species